rnacentral:rRNA from 1 species
AGCAUACUGCGCUGUCGAGUGGGCACGGGUGCGUACACGUAUGCACCUACCCUUACUGGGGAAUACCCUGUGAAAGCGGGGCUAAUACCCCAUAAUAUUAUGGUAAGGCAUCUUACUAUUAUCGAAGAUUAUCGGUUAGGGAUGGGCAUGCGCCCCAUUAGUUAGUUGGUUAGGUAACGGCUAACCAAAGACUGUUGAUGGGUAAGGGGUCUGAGAGGAUAUCCCCCACACUGGUACUGAGACACGGACCAGACUCCUACGGGAGGCAGCAGUAAGGAAUAUUGGGCAAUGGACGCAAGUCUGACCCAGCCAUGCCGCGUGCAGGAUGACGGCCUUAUGGGUUGUAAACUGCUUUUGUAUGGGAUUAAAGUGUUGUACGUGUACGACAUUGCAAGUACCAUACGAAUAAGCAUCGGCUAACUCCGUGCCAGCAGACGCGGUAAUACGGAGGAUGCAAGCGUUAUCCGGAAUCAUUGGGUCUAAAGGGUGCGUAGGUUGAUUAUUAAGUCAGUGGUGAAAAUUCCGGGCUCAACCCGGGACUUGCCGUUGAAACUGAUAAUCUUGAGUGUCACUGAUGUGGGCGG